rnacentral:rRNA from 1 species
ACGGGUGAGUAACACGUGGGCAACCUGCCCUGCACUCUGGGAUAAGCCCGGGAAACUGGGUCUAAUACCGGAUAUGACCUUCUGCCGCAUGGUGGAGGGUGGAAAGUUCCGGCGGUGCAGGAUGGGCCCGCGGCCUAUCAGCUUGUUGGUGGGGUAGUGGCCUACCAAGGCGACGACGGGUAGCCGGCCUGAGAGGGCGACCGGCCACACUGGGACUGAGACACGGCCCAGACUCCUACGGGAGGCAGCAGUGGGGAAUAUUGCGCAAUGGGCGAAAGCCUGACGCAGCGACGCCGCGUGAGGGAUGACGGCCUUCGGGUUGUAAACCUCUUUCAGCAGGGACGAAGCGCAAGUGACGGUACCUGCAGAAGAAGCACCGGCUAACUACGUGCCAGCAGCCGCGGUAAUACGUAGGGUGCGAGCGUUGUCCGGAAUUAUUGGGCGUAAAGAGCUCGUAGGCGGUUUGUCGCGUCGACUGUGAAAACCUACAGCUUAACUGUGGGCUUGCAGUCGAUACGGGCAGACUUGAGUUCGGUAGGGGAGACUGGAAUUCCUGGUGUAGCGGUGAAAUGCGCAGA